rnacentral:lncRNA from 1 species
AAAGAAGAUGCUUUCCGAGGUCUAGGUCUAUGUGCGAUGGUAUGAAUCUGCUUUUAUAAUAAUUUUUAUUUGUUAUUAAUAGUUAAAAUAAUAAUAUAAUUUGUGCUUGGGUGGUACUAAACUUUUUCAGGGUAGGGCAAAUCCAUCAAGGUAACUGAGUUCACUUGUUUUCAUAUGCAAAGCUAUUGCAAGUUGGUAUGUAAAGAUUACGUGUCAUAAUUCGACACAAAAAUAUUAAAUAUAUAUUUUUUUAUUUUAUUAAAUUUAUAUAUAAUUAUUAUUAAAAUUUUAUGCUAUCACCUUUGUGUCUUCUUUCUUAUUGUAUUGUAAUACUGUAUCGUAUUUUAGAUUGUCAAGCCUAGUGGAAUUUUUUUUUUUUGUUAUAAUUAUUUACUUUUGUGCGACAAUGAGAUUGGGGUUUCAUAGUAUGGACAACAAAUGUUAGCCUGCUGAGACUCAAAUGAACUAAUGGAUGGUGUACCGUGUGGGCCACAAACAAAGCAGAAUUUUGGCUACUCUGAUUCUCUGCAAGUUUUUACUUGAUUUUCUUAUUUGUAAGUUUUUCUAGGACUUCCCCUUCUCUUCAAUCCUAUUGCCUCAGUUUCUUUU